AGACCGAUAGCGAACAAGUAGAGUGAUCGAAAGAUGAAAAGCCCUUUGGAAAGAGAGUUCCCCAGUACGUGAAAUUGUUGAAAGGGAAGCGCUUGCAAUCAGACUUGCACUUGGUGUUCAUCAGGGUCUCGUACCCUGUGUACUUCAUCAAGUUCAGGCCAGCAUCAGUUUGAGUGGUUAGAUAAAGGCUUAGAGAAUGUGGCCCUCUUCGGGGGGUGUUAUAGCUCUAGGUGCAAUGUAGCCUACUUGGACUGAGGACCGCGCUUCGGCUAGGAUGCUGGCGUAAUGGUUGUAAGCGACCCGUCUUGAAACACGGACCAAG
rnacentral:rRNA from 1 species